CUCCGUGAAUCCUCCAUCUUAAGGUAAAACUGAAGCUAUUUUUUACGGUUUAAUUUAUCAGACUGAGGGUCCAGAACAAUCCAGAACCAGGACGGAGGAGAAGUGGUCCAACAGAACCACUGAGGAGGACAUGAGGGAACAAAGACCAGAACUAUCUGAGACCAGGAAGCUGUGAACGAGGAGACUCGAAGCAGAUGUAAAAAAACAAUAUAUAAAACUUAUUAAGAGCAGCAAAGUUACCGGAAAUCAGCAACUAUACAGACUUCCAGGGUAGAAUCUAAAACCUGCAGAACAGUAGCUCACAAGGACCGGAGUGGGAGAUCCCUGCUCUAAACAAACCCCGCUGCUGGACUCUACUACGGAACAGACAGCAGUGAUCGGAUUACUGAGGGUGAAAACUACAUAAACAUAUUAUUGCUGCACAUACACGUUUGUUAGUGAAUGAGUUAUUAUGUUAAUGUUGAUUUAAGUGAUGAUCAAGUCAUGUUUGACAAUAGAUUAAAUAAGUGUAACCAGCACAAUAAUUUCAUACAUUUUUGGAGGGAAAUAUUAAUCUUAACCAACAAGCUACGAUUUGGCCUCCAGAGAAAAAUGGACUUUUUAAAGAUGGUUAGAACUUGUAUAUAAACAAAAAAGACUGUUACCCAGGCCCACAACAAAUGACAGGGCUUCAAGUGUUCCGGCACCGUGCCGGAUCUCCGGCUUUUCACUAUGAUUCAGGGGGAGGAAAAAACAAACAAACAAACAAACAAAAAACUUAACUAUGGGUUAUAGUGGUUGAGACU